UGUUUCAUUACAUGAAAUUUUUAUUUAAAUUGGCAAAAUUAAAAAAGGAAGUAGGGAUUAUGAAACCACCGCCUCUGGGUCGCCACCGUCACUGUUGCAGCACGUCCGCGGUGCCAUCAAUCACACUGGACACGGCGGUUCGACCCUUUCACGCAUGAGAGAGGUUUUGUCGUCCCCAUCGAUGCGCCCUCCACCAUCACGAACAAGGCUCGUCGCCCUUGGUGCCAACCGCUCACGCUGACGUCGCUGCAACCUCCAACCACUUUAACCGCCGCGACCUCCAACCACCGCGAGUUCGUCUUCCUAUUCCUUCUCAUAGCAACCCCCACAUCAUCCGCGACUUCUUGCUUCAUGCGAGCGUCAAUCAGAACAUGCAUUCUCCACCCUGCCACCCAAAAAAAAAAAUAUGCCCAAAUCACAAAAAUAGAGAGAGACGAGUAACCCAGCGGCACCAUCAUCCCUUCUUCUCGCGCCUCCCCUUUCGAACUAAUUAUGCCAAUAGAUAUGUAUCUGCAGGAAGAUUUGUGGAUGCUCUUUCCCAAGGAGGAGGAGGAGUAUAUUGGUCCUGUGUACCCAACAUUUUGGUUGUCUCGUUUCUUUGCAGAUUUGUGGAUGCUCUUUCCCAAGGAGGAGGAGUAUAUUGACUGGUUUCAAAAGGCAGGGUUUAAGGAUGUCCAACUUAAAAGGAUUGGCCUUGGUUAGUGUUAAAUAAUGAUGGACAUGGAGGUUCUUUUUGAUGGGUUAUGUUUUGGUAGAGAAAAAAAUAUGACUGUGAAGAUUAUAAAGAUAUUGAUGGAGGGAUUGAAUAUUGAAGAUAGAAAUGGAAAUUGUUCUUAUAAGGAGAUGAUAAAUCUGAUAAUGGCUUGGGUUUUUCGAUGGUAGCAGUAACAACAACAGAUUGGAGGCCAAAAACAUUGAGUUUGCGGAGGGAUCCACAAGCGAUUGACACCGAGUCGGUCACCCUUCAAGCUUUUCCAAAGAACGUCCAAUGGUUUCCAAAUCUCUCAUUCGCUUUUCAAUUUUGUCAUGUCAUAAUUCUUUUAUUUAAAUAAAAAUUUCACGUAAUGAAA